rfam:Rattus norvegicus chromosome 1, whole genome shotgun sequence.
GGGGACUUAGCUCAGUGGUAGAGCGCUUGCCUAGCAAGCACAAGGUCCUGGGUUCGGUCCCCAGCUCCG